CGCGUAAACGAUCAUGAAGCGCAACAGAGUCAUCGUGCAGUCAACUUCCCAACAACACUAAGGGAGACGUUAGCGUGAUCGCGAUUGGAGGCUCUUGAUUUUGUAACGAAGUAGAAAAAUUGUUUGUUUCGAUUUUGGGGUUCAGAGCAAAAUGGGGGUUAUGUCCAGGCGGGUUGUGCCCGUCUGUGGCAACCUCUGUUGCAUUUGUCCUGCUCUGCGGGCAAGCUCGAGACAACCAGUGAAACGUUACAAGAAGUUGCUAGCUGAUAUUUUCCCACGAAAUCAGGAGGCUGAACCUAAUGAUAGAAAAAUUGGAAAGCUAUGUGACUACGCUUCCAAGAACCCACUGAGAAUUCCCAAGAUUACUGACAACUUGGAGCAAAUAUGUUACAAGGAUUUGCGUCAUGAGACCUUUGGUUCAGUGAAAGUUGUCUUGUGCAUAUACAGGAAAUUCUUAUCGUCAUGUAAGGAGCAGAUGCCGCUUUUUGCUGGUAGUUUGUUAGAGAUCAUUCGAACUCUUCUAGAACAAACCAGAACAGAUGAAAUCAGGAUCUUAGGCUGCAAUACUCUUUUUGAUUUUAUAGAUUGCCAGACAGAUGGUACAUAUAUGUUCAACUUAGAGGGUUUUAUUCCUAAACUAUGUCAAUUGGCUCAAGAAGUGGGAGAAGAUGAACGAGUUCUGCGGCUACGUUCAGCUGGACUACAAGCUCUAUCCUUUAUGGUGCGUUUCAUGGGUGAGCACUCACAUCUUUCCAUGGAUUUGGAUGAAAUUGUAUCAGUGACUUUGGAGAAUUAUGUGAGUCUCCAGUCUAACUCCAAACCUUCCAUGGAAGAUAAACUGUCCCUGGACCUGUUAGUACAGGGAUUUCCCAAAGUAGAGGACCCUUUACCAGAUAUCACUAAGAAGGAUCCUUUGUUGCUUAAAGUUGUGACUGGAUCUGAGAUGGACUCUAUGUUGGAUACUGCUAAAGAUCCUACAUAUUGGUCAAAGGUUUGCUUGCAUAAUAUGGUCAAAUUGGCAAGGGAAGCUACAACUCUACGGCGUGUCCUUGAGCCGUUUUUUCAUUAUUUUGAUACUGAAAACCAAUGGUGUCCGGAAAAAGGAGUAGCUGGUCGUGUUUUGAUGUACUUACAAUCUCUUUUAGCAGAAUCAGGAGAUAACUCGCAUCUUCUGUUGUCCAUUUUGGUCAAGCACUUGGAUCAUAAGAAUGUUGUCAAACAGCCUAUCCUUCAGAUUAAUAUUAUUAACACUACAACAAAACUUGCACAAAGUGUGAAGCAGCAGGCUUCAGUUGCAAUUCUUGGUGCAAUAUCUGACCUCAUUAAACAUUUAAGGAGGUGCCUGCAAAAUUCAGCUGAAGCUUCCAGCAUUGGAAAUGAUGGGUAUAAGUUGAAUACUGAACUUCAAUAUGCCUUGGAACUGUGUAUGUUACAUCUUUCCAACAAGGUUGGGGAUGUAGGACCCAUUCUUGAUUUGAUGGCUGUGUUGUUAGAGAGUAUCUCAACUACAACCAUCAUUGCAAGAACAACAAUCUCUGCUGUUUAUCAAACUGCAAAAUUAAUCACAUCCAUCCCGAACAUAUCAUAUCACAAGAAGGCUUUUCCUGAUGCUUUGUUUCAUCAAUUGCUCUUGGCGAUGGCUCAUCCUGACCAUGAAACACGAGUUGGGGCUCAUAGUAUCUUCUCUAUAGUGCUUAUGCCAUCUCUGUUUUCUCCCCGGUUGGACCAGAAAACAAAGAUGGUUCAGAAGGUACCCAGUGAAAGCUUCUCCAUUCAACAUGAGGGCUUUUUAGGAGCAGAACAUAUCAAUGGAAAACCUGUGGAGGGAAAGGCAGCAGUUGGUAACAAUGAGAAAUAUGCAGUUCAUCCAUAUCAUGGUUACAGCUUUUUUGGUGUUCUAACUGAUGGAAAAGACGAGCUAAGUUCUUUUCGGUUAAGCAGUCACCAAGUGAGUCUCUUGCUUUCUUCAAUCUGGGUUCAGGCAACAUCUAUGGACAGCGGCCCUGCAAAUUUUGAGGCAAUGGCUCACACUUACAGCAUUGCUUUAUUGUUCACCCGAUCUAAGACAUCCAGUUACAUGGCUUUAGUAAGAUGUUUCCAACUAGCAUUCUCCCUCAUGAGCCUCGCUUUGGACCAAGAAGGAGGUUUACAACCAUCUCGCAGGAGGUCUCUUUUUACCUUGGCAUCAUACAUGCUAAUAUUCUCUGCCAGGGCAGGCAAUUUCCCCGAGCUAAUUCCAAAAGUCAAAGCAUCCCUGACAGUGACAACUGUAGAUCCAUUUCUUGAGUUGGUCGAUGAUGUCAGGCUGCAGGCUGUUCAAAUAGAAUCAGAGAACAUAAUUUAUGGAUCUCAGGAAGAUGAUGUUUCUGCUAUGAAGUCACUUUCAGCAGUAAACUUGGAUGACAACCAGUUGAAAGAAACUGUAAUAUCAUUCUUCUUGACUAAAUUUUCAAAAUUAUCGGAGGAUGAGUUGUCAAGCAUAAAGAAUCAACUCGUACAAGGGUUUUCCCCUGAUGAUGCAUAUCCAUUGGGACCUCCAUUGUUUUUGGAGACACCACGGCCAUGUUCUCCACUUGCUCAAAUUGAGUUCCCAGAUUUUGACGAGAUUGUGGCUCCAGUGGCUUUGGUGGAUGAAGAGACCAGGCCUGAACCAAGUGGAAGUCAGUCAGAUCGUAAAUCAUCACUAUCUAUCAAUUGCCCAGACAUUCUAAGUGUUUAUCAACUCUUAGAAUCGGUAAAAUGCGAUAUGUUUUUCUGUUAAAUUUUUAACUGAUUGGCUAUAUGAUUGUUUUUUAAAUCAAUUUUGUAUACUUCUGCUGGAGAGUGGAGAGUAUGUUUCUUCUUCUGUUAAAGAUCUGCAUUCAUAUUUAGUUCAGGCUGAUUAGUUAUGUGAUUGUAUUCAUAAAUCAAUUUUGUAUGUUUCUGACCGUUUCUUAUUUAGUUCUGAUUAGAUUCUUGCAUGGAUAGGUUUUGGAAACCGCACGGCAAGUGGCAAGUUUCCCUAUUUCCUCAACUCCUGUACCUUAUGACCAAAUGAAGAACCAGUGCGAGGCACUUGUUACUGGGAAACAGCAGAAGAUGUCAGUUCUUCAGAGUUUCAAGUACCAGCAGGAUACUAGGGCAAUAGUUCUUUCAAGUGAAAAUGAAAUGAAAGUUUCCCCACUACCAAUUAAGACACUCGAGUAUUCAGAAGAUGAUCUGAAGUUAGUGAGUCAGGAGCAAUUUCAAGCGCAGUAUCAAGUUCGCCUCUGUUCAUAUGACUUUGGACUUCAACAUUCUUUGAAACUACCACCUUCUAGCCCCUAUGAUAAAUUCUUAAAAGCUGCUGGAUGCUAAUGGCACUAGAUUGCUAUAUAGACGUGUAACUAUUUAUAUAGAGAUGAAUCCUCACCACUGACCUCCCCUCCUUUUGUUUUGUUAGUUCUCUGUUCGCCUUGUUUUUUACUCGUUGUGUAGUGGUAAACUGGUUGUUUCUUUAGGUGCUUUUCACACCCUACAUGCCCAGAGUGAGUAAAACGUGCAGCACAAUACCACAGUUUAAUUCUUUCUUUUCUUUGUGUUGGGGCAGGACCAUGUUUUUUUUAACAAAUGUAUGAUUCUAUGGCAAUUUUUUCAUAAUAAUUGUCAAUAUUUUAAGGGAUUUAUUUUGCUUGG